CGUGUCAGUACACCUGUGUAAUGGAGGAUGUUGAGGUGUUCACGGAGAGACAGAUGGUUCCUGCUGUCCGCAGCCUGGCACCAAGCUCCUCUUAUCGGGCGAGCUGAAGUCUUAUGAUGCCCUGUCAUCUGAUACCCAGAAGAAUGUCCUGUCAGCUCUCCUGAGACUGGGAGCUGUGGACCAGGCUGAGAACAGCUGAGCAAAGUGAAUUCAGAGCCAACAAGCCAGCCAUCAGGAGAUUGCAGAU